AUUGAACGCUGGCGGCAUGCCUUACACAUGCAAGUCGAACGGUAACAGGUCUUCGGAUGCUGACGAGUGGCGAACGGGUGAGUAAUACAUCGGAACGUGCCUAGUAGUGGGGGAUAACUACUCGAAAGAGUGGCUAAUACCGCAUGAGAUCUACGGAUGAAAGCAGGGGAUCGCAAGCCCUUGUGCUACUAGAGCGGCCGAUGGCAGAUUAGGUAGUUGGUGGGAUAAAAGCUUACCAAGCCGACGAGCUGUAGCUGGUCUGAGAGGGCGAUCAGCCACACUGGGACGGAGACACGGCCCAGACUCCUACGGGAGGCAGCAGUGGGGAAUUUUGGACAAUGGGCGAAAGCCUGAUCCAGCAAUGCCGCGUGCAGGAUGAAGGCCUUCGGGUUGUAAACUGCUUUUGUACGGAACGAAAAGCCCCGGGUUAAUACCCUGGGGUCAUGACGGUACCGUAAGAAUAAGCACCGGCUAACUACGUGCCAGCCGCCGCCGUAA
rnacentral:rRNA from 1 species